AUGGCGAAUGAUGCGGGGCGGGGUUUCCAGGGAGAUCGGCGUCAAGGCGCAGAUGCGGCCCGUGCAGGACGCGGCAUGGGUCGCGGCGCGGGGAGGAACGCUGGCCGUGGCAACGGCCGUGGCGGCGACAAGAGCAAGUACUCAUGGAAGCGGAGCAAGGGCGACGGCGAUGGCGACCGCACCAUCUCUGCUUCAUCCAACCCCACCUCUGCUGCGAUGGAUACUGCGCGCUGGGAGGCAGCUGCGACCACCAGGCGCCAAGAGAACCAAGAUGGAGGGAUUUGGGUGGAGAAGCAACAGUCGGCGGUGGCGUCGGGGGAGACUGGUAGCGGCCAGACCUCAUCGCCGAUUCAUCGUCCACACGGCAAGCAGAACAUCACCCAGGUGCCCCCUACCAAGAACCCUAUCUCCUGCCCCAUAUGCAAGUCGAAUGAUCAUCCUCCUGCUAGAUGUCCUCAAGUUUUCUUUGAGAGAUGCAAUAAGUUAGGGCACUUGGCUUCUGUAUGCACGGCAUUCACUCCCUGGGAGUGUAUUGCCCCAAUGUGUGCCUUUCAGUCGAGGGGGCAGGGGUUUUGCUAUAUCCAUGAUUCAUGCACUGCUAGUCAGCUUAAGGAGAGGUCCAAUAAUAUUGUUGUUACCAUUGUUGAGGGGGAAACUUCGACUAGGCAGAUGGAAUUGGACCUGUCUGACUAUCUUGCUACUGGAUGGCGCUGUUCAGCACAUGCCAUUGGUCCUGGGGUGUAUGUGGUGCGAUUUCCUAAUCCUAGAGUGGUUGCUCAAAUCUGCUAUGUGGGAAAAGUUACUCUGAAAACGAGUGGGGCUAUUAUACAUGCCACUCAAUGGUCCUCAGCUGUGGGAUCGAAAAGCAUCAUGGAAGUGGCUUGGGUGAGGGUGAUUAAUAUCCCACUGGAUAAAAGAAGUGAGAGGAAUGAAGCCUUUGUGGCCUCGCUAGUGGGGAUUCCACUAGAGAUCGAUAAUGCAACCUUGCAUCGUCCUGCUUCUGUUCGUGUGAAACUUGGGUGCAGAAAUGUUGAUGCGAUACCUGGAAUAGCAGAAUCAUUUUUGGGAGGACACUUCUAUGAUUUCGUUUAUGAGGUUGAACAGGUGCUGAUCAGGGACCCUAAUCGUGAGAACAAUGAGGUUCGGGUGCCUACUGGAGAUGAGGGAGGGAAACAUGAAAAGAGCAAAAAGGUUGUGAAUCCUGAUACUCAAAUGGGCAGUACUUCAUCUGGGCUUGGGGGGAAAUCUCUCCCCAUUCCCCAGCAUGUAGUGCCUGACCCGAUGUGA
rnacentral:rRNA from 1 species